rnacentral:rRNA from 1 species
GGGGAAUAUUGCACAAUGGGGGAAACCCUGAUGCAGCAACGCCGCGUGAAGGAUGAAGGUUUUCGGAUUGUAAACUUCUUUAGUCAGGGACGAAAAAAUGACGGUACCUGAAGAAUAAGCCACGGCUAACUACGUGCCAGCAGCCGCGGUAAUACGUAGGUGGCAAGCGUUGUCCGGAAUUACUGGGUGUAAAGGGCGUGUAGGCGGGAAUGUAAGUCAGAUGUGAAAUCCCAGAGCUUAACUCUGGAGCUGCAUCUGAAACUAUGUUUCUUGAGUGCCGGAGAGGAAAGCGGAAUUCCUAGUGUAGCGGUGAAAUGCGUAGAUAUUAGGAGGAACACCAGUGGCGAAGGCGGCUUUCUGGACGGUAACUGACGCUGAGGCGCGAAAGCGUGGGGAGCAAAC